CAUGCAGCCGAGCGGUAGAGAUCUUUCGGGAUCUUGAGAGCGGCGUACGGGUGCGGAACACGUGUGCAACCUGCCUUUAUCUGGGGGAUAGCCUUUCGAAAGGAAGAUUAAUACCCCAUAACAUUUUGAAUGGCAUCAUUUAAAAUUGAAAACUCCGGUGGAUAGAGAUGGGCACGCGCAAGAUUAGAUAGUUGGUGAGGUAACGGCUCACCAAGUCUGCGAUCUUUAGGGGGCCUGAGAGGGUGAUCCCCCACACUGGUACUGAGACACGGACCAGACUCCUACGGGAGGCAGCAGUGAGGAAUAUUGGACAAUGGGUGAGAGCCUGAUCCAGCCAUCCCGCGUGAAGGACGACGGCCCUAUGGGUUGUAAACUUCUUUUGUAUAGGGAUAAACCUUUCCACGUGUGGGAAGCUGAAGGUACUAUACGAAUAAGCACCGGCUAACUCCGUGCCAGCAGCCGCGGUAAUACGGAGGGUGCAAGCGUUAUCCGGAUUUAUUGGGUUUAAAGGGUCCGUANGCGGAUCUGUAAGUCAGUGGUGAAAUCUCACAGCUUAACUGUGAAACUGCCAUUGAUACUGCAGGUCUUGAG
rnacentral:rRNA from 1 species